GGCAGGUUGAAAUCCCCGCAAACGACGACCGUAUCAUUCGGACCAGCGGCUUCAACCAUGGACUCAACAAAAACGACGAACGAAUCGUAACGACGAGUGUUAGAGCUCGGGCAAACUCCGUGCUGGCAAUUCGACGAUGGAUGGCAACAAGUGCACCACCACCAGUUAUUUUGUCACUGUUGACCGAACUUCGAUCGCAGCGGUAAACAGAAAAACAAGCGGGAAACAACAUACCAUCCUGUACGUCAGAGUCCAAGAUUUCUCACAGACGAACC